UGGGGCGUAGCCAAGUGGUAAGGCACCGGUUUUUGGUACCGGCAAUCGCAGGUUCGAAUCCUGCCGCCCCAGCCA
rnacentral:tRNA from 1 species